UUCCGGUUGAUCCUGCCGGACCCGACUGCUAUUUGGGUGAGAAUAAGCCAUGCGAGUUGAAUGGGAUACCUAAAGUUCCCAUAGCAAACUGCUCAGUAACACAUGAUCAACUUACCCUAUAGAGAAAAAUAACCUCGGGAAACUGAGGAUAAUGUUUCAUAAUUGAAUUGGCUUGGAAAAGUUUUUCAAUGAAAAGGAUAAAAAAAAUGGUUUUUAUCUGCUAUAGGAUAGGAUCGUGUUCGAUUAUGGUUGUUGGUGAAAUAAUGGCUCACCAAGCCGAUAAUCGAUAGGGGCCGUGAGAGCGGGAGCCCCGAGAUGGGUACUGAGACAACGACCCAGGCCUUACGAGGCGCAGCAGGCGCGGAACCUCCGCAAUACACGAAAGUGUGACGGGGUUACCCAAAGUGUUCAAUAGAACUGUGGUAGGUGAGUAAUGUUCCCUACUAGAAAGGAGAGGGCAAGGCUGGUGCCAGCCGCCGCGGUAAAACCAGCUCUUCAAGUGGUCGGGAUAAUUAUUGGGCUUAAAGUGUCCGUAGCCGGUUUAGUAAGUUCCUGGUAAAAUCGGGUAGCUUAACUAUCUGCAUGCUAGGAAUACUGCUAUACUAGAGGGCGGGAGAGGUCUGAGGUACUACAGGGGUAGGGGUGAAAUCUUAUAAUCCUUGUAGGACCACCAGUGGCGAAGGCGUCAGACUGGAACGCGCCUGACGGUGAGGGACGAAAGCCAGGGGAGCGAACCGGAUUAGAUACCCGGGUAGUCCUGGCCGUAAACGAUGCAUACUAUGUGAUGGUACGGCCAUGAGCCGUAUCAGUGCCGUAGGGAAACCGUUAAGUGUGCCGCCUGGGAAGUACGGUCGCAAGGCUAAAACUUAAAGGAAUUGGCGGGGGAGCACCACAAGGGGUGAAGCCUGCGGUUCAAUUGGAUUCAACGCCGGAAAUCACUAGUGCGGCCG
rnacentral:rRNA from 1 species